rnacentral:miRNA from 1 species
CUCCAGAUGUUGCUGAACUACAACUCCCAUGAUUCUCAGCUGAUCUGUUUCAUUCAUACAAUCAUGGGAGUUGUAGUUCAGCAACAUCUGGAG